AUCGAGGGAUGGAGUGGUGGUGUGGGGGGGAGGAGGAGGUGAUUGCGUCUGGCUUUUGGUGUCUACUAUUUGUGAUGUUGGUUCAGUAACUGGGAAAAGUUAGCCUUGUGUGGCUCCCCUGUGCCUGAAGAAGGGUUCUGUUUGUAUCUCCAGCCUUCUGGGCACUGGAUGGUCUUGGUGCUCGCAGGAUGAUGUGUCUCAGGGCCUUGCUGCUUCUGGUUGUGUUGUGGAAGGUAAAAGCUGGCAUUGCAGCAACUUAUUUGAGAGGCGUAGUGUUUUCUAAGGCACCUGACCCUGCAAGCUUGCCCUGCAAAGUGUAGCAGAAGCUCUGGGGAUGGUGAGGACAGCCUCCCUUCCCAAAGUCUGUCUGGGGGAGCAUGGGUUGGAGCUCUGCUGUAACAGGAGGUAGGGGGAGGGGAACUCUGGAAUAAGAAAGGAAAAGGUUUCAGAGCUGUGGUUUCUUUGCAUGAUGCUAUGUAAGCAUGAACACUUCAGCUCACCUUCAGUCCUGUUUAAGAGGCAUUAAUUUUGGUGUCAGAUGAGCUGGUGCUUGGGCAUGUUUAUGGGGGGGGCUGAGGCAGGUAGCUGGCAGCAAUCAGACAGCUGUGGGUUAAUGAGUACCUCAUCAGCUGAGUCUCAUUAACGGUGCAGCCUCCAGCCCAGCAGGGCAGGAGGUGUUGGAGCCAUUUAGAGGAUAACAGUGGUCGGUUGUGGUGCUGGAGUGGUUGAGGAUGGGGCAGCUCUGAUGGUUUGGCAGGUUUAGAGGUUACUUGUUUAAAAAGUUUGCUGGUUUGUGAGUUUAAUUACAGAAUUAACCACGUGCACGUUGAAACAGUGCUAAUAAAUGUGUUGCAAGCAGACUGUGGCAGUGGUUAAUGUCAACCUGGGGGAAAUGAAUGGAAAUGGUUUUAACACACACUGUAACUGUGCUGGGAGGACUUAUUUAAUUUGUAAGCCUUUGACACUGGUUAUAGUAUCAGCAAAUACGGGAACACUGUAAGAUCACGCUCUGUAUGAAAAUAAACGAGGAAUAUAAUCUUUUUUUCCUCUUUCUAAGAAUUGUGGUGAAAUGAAGUGUGCAUCUGAACUUCUCCUUUCCAAAUGCUUUCCACAUAACUGGCUUUACCAAAAUGGAAGGGUGAAUUCAUAGCUUGGAAGUUUCUAAAAAUGUCUCUGCCAAAUGCAUGUGGCUGCUAUCGCAUGCCAAGUGGUCCAGAGCGAGCCAGGCUGGAAUCUCUG
ensembl:lncRNA